AACGAACGCUGGCGGCAUGCCUAACACAUGCAAGUCGAACGAGACCUUCGGGUCUAGUGGCGCACGGGUGCGUACCGCGUGGGAACCUGCCCUUAGGUUCGGAAUAACUCCCCGAAAGGGGUGCUAAUACCGGUUAAUCUCUUCGGACCAAAGAUUUAUCGCCUUUGGAUGGGCCCGCGUUAGAUUCGCUAGUUGGUAGGGUAAAAGCCUACCAAGGCGACGAUCCAUAGCUGGUCUGAGAGGAUGAUCAGCCACACUGGGACUGAGACACGGCCCAGACUCCUACGGGAAGCAGCAGUGGGGAAUAUUGGACAAUGGGCGAAAGCCUGAUCCAGCAAUGCCGCGUGAGUGAUGAAGGCGUUAGGGAUGUAAAGCUCUUUUACCCGGGAUGAUAAUGACAGUAACGGGAGAAUAAGCCACGGCUAACUCCGUG
rnacentral:rRNA from 1 species